GAUGAAGAAGUAGCGAAAUGCGAUACUUGGUGUGAAUUGCAGAAUCCCGUGAACCAUCGAGUCUUUGAACGCAAGUUGCGCCCGAAGCCAUUAGGCCGAGGGCACGCCUGCCUGGGCGUCACACGUCGUUGCCCCCCCCAUCUACUCCUUCGGGAUUGCGGGGGGCGGAUGAUGGCCUCCCGUGUGCCUCGCCGCGCGGUUGGCAUAAAUGCCAAGUCCUCGGCGACGCACGCCACGACAAUCGGUGGUUGCGAAACCUCGGUUGCCCGUCGUGUGCGGUCGUCGCGCAUCGAGGGCUCGAAAAAAUUGCCGGGUUCCGGCUCGGCUUUCAACGCGACCCCAGGUCAGGCGGGGUUACCCGCUGAAUUUAAGCAUAUCAAUAAGCGGAGGA
rnacentral:misc_RNA from 1 species